rnacentral:rRNA from 1 species
UACGUAGGGGGCAAGCGUUGUCCGGAUUUAUUGGGCGUAAAGAGCGUGUAGGCGGCCAGGUAGGUCUGCUGUUAAAACUCGAGGCUUAACCUCGAGAGGUCGGUGGAAACCAUCUGGCUAGAGUCCGGAAGAGGAGAGUGGAAUUCCCGGUGUAGCGGUGAAAUGCGCAGAUAUCGGGAAGAACACCCGUGGCGAAGGCGGCUCUCUGGGACGGUACUGACGCUGAGACGCGAAAGCGUGGGGAGCGAACAGG